AUGGCUUCAUCCGGUUCCAUGACGAGGCCGCCGUGCGCCAACCGAGAGGACAUACCGAAGACGUGGAUCGAGGCCAAGUUGGACAAGAACAAGGAGAAGGAUCUGCCCACACCACCAUGUUGGUGUGGUGAUGUUUGCAAGGUGAAGGUGUCCACUGACCGUAAGAAGUCACGGACAGAAGGUAGAAGAUUUUUUGUGUGUCCCAACUAUGCACAUGAUCGUGUGAGACCAACUAACGCUUAUGACCGUCCACCGGUAUGUUAG
rnacentral:rRNA from 1 species